AUACGGAGGAUCCGAGCGUUAUCCGGAUUUAUUGGGUUUAAAGGGUGCGCAGGCGGCCAUUUAAGUCAGCGGUUAAAUCGUGGGGCUCAACCCCAUUCUGCCGUUGAUACUGGGUGGCUUGAUUGCGGUCGAGGUUGGCGGAAUUCGUUGUGUAGCGGUGAAAUGCAUAGAUAUGACGAAGAACACCGAUUGCGUAGGCAGCUGACCAGACCGCAAAUGACGCUCAUGCACGAAAGUGCGGGGAUCGAACAGGAUUAGAUACCCUGUAGUCCGCACAAUAAACGAUGAAUACUUGUUUUCGGCGAUAUAAUGUCGGAGGCAAAGCGAAAGCGAUAAGUAUUCCACCUGGGGAGUACGCCGGCAACGGUGAAACUCAAAGGAAUUGACGGGG
rnacentral:rRNA from 1 species